GAGUUUUGAUCCUGGCUCAGGAUGAACGCUAGCUACAGGCUUAACACAUGCAAGUCGAGGGGAAACGACAUCGAAAGCUUGCUUUUGAUGGGCGUCGACCGGCGUACGGGUGAGUAACGCGUAUCCAACCUGCCCACCACGUUGGGGAUAACCUUGACGAAAGUAAGACUAAUACCCAAUGGUAUCUCUAGAAGACAUCUGAAAGAGAUUAAAGAUUUAUCGGUGAUGGAUGGGGAUGCGUCUGAUUAGCUUGUUGGCGGGGUAACGGCCCACCAAGGCAACGAUCAGUAGGGGUUCUGAGAGGAAGGUCCCCCACAUUGGAACUGAGACACGGUCCAAACUCCUACGGGAGGCAGCA
rnacentral:rRNA from 1 species